GCCGCGUGAAUAAAUCAAAUGUUGCAAUGAUAAAUUUUUUUAGGUAUAUUUUUCUCUGACAAUAUCUGUAUGGACAAUAAUAUUUUGAAACGGAAAUUCCCUUAUCAAAUGGCAAAUUCAAAAGCUCAAACACACCAAACGAAUGAAAAACAACUGUCUUAUUUCUGACUUGGUACAGGCAUUUUCUUAUGUAGAACAUGAUAAAUUAAACCUUAUUUUAUACCUAGCCAAACUUUGAAAUGAUCCUUUAGUAUUUUUCUAGAUCUAUCUGAUCAGAACGCUCAACUCUUAACAUUUUAAAGACAUAGAUGAGUACACACGAUGCAAUGUAUGGUCAAUCAUGUCUUGAAGGCUCUAUACUGACUUGAAGACGAAAAACAACAUAUAUGGCAGUUCACACAGAAGUUGCGGAAUUUCUGUCAAGCCGGUACUAGGAACCGGAAUGAAAUGUAAUUGUCUUUCAGUGAAAAAGGCAUCACUAUGACAUUAAAACAAACAAUAAAACAGCACGGCGUCUUUGUUUCGUUAUUUUUUCAAAUGGGUUUCAUGAUUUUGUAUCGUUAAUGAUUCACCAUUAUUACUGUUUUAUUAUCAUUUUAAAACAUGUACUCUGUUUCUAUUCAAAGGAGUUAAUAUUCAACUUUGAGUAUAAGUAAUCAUUUCAGUAAUCAUUGAUGUAAGUUUAGUUCUCUUAUUCUGACAUAUAUAUUUCCAUGUUUGAGCAGUGGUUCUUUAAAAUUGUACGCUGAGCUUUUAGCUUUUACUUCGUGUGAUGAACUGCAUUUUCUUUCUUUCGCUUUAUUCAAAACAUGGACGCAUUGUUUCAUACAUGUAUACAUCAUAUUAACUCAUUUUGACUACCAUAAAUAAUUCUAGCUGUAAUAUCAGUAUCCAAAGUAGAGAAGAGUUUGGCGCUCUAUUACAUGUUUAAACUUGCUACAUUAUGUAUGUGUCGAUCCAAAUCAGAUGCUUAUAUAGCUAACCUUGCGGUAUAGGUUUAGCUUAUUGUUGAAUGCCAUACGGUGGCCUAUAAUUCCUAGUUUCUACAUUAUUUGGUCUCUGCUGGAGAGAUGUCUCAUUGACAAUCUUACCAUAUCUUCUUAUUUUUACAUUUAUAAAAGCGGAACAGGCUUUAUAUGAAUGCAUCAGUUAUAGUAUAACGAAU
rnacentral:lncRNA from 1 species